CAGUAGUGUAUACUAAAUUUGUUGCGGUUAUAAUGUUCGUAGUUGUGUUUUAUGAGAUAGAUUUGUAUCUCAAAACUAAGGUAUGGAUAGAGUUUUGUCUUUUUGUCUAUAACGGAGUUUAUACUUUGAAUUAUACAAGGUGUUUAAAGCAAUCUUGGGAUGUAUAUGUGUUAGCAUAGAAUUUAAAUAAAAUUUAUGGUGUCUAUAGAAAGGGUUAUAGGAUUAGUUGGGGAUAUAUGUAUUUAAAUGUCAGAGGUGGAAUUCUUGGAUUUUAAAAGACGCGCAAAAGCGAAAGCACUUGUCAUGUGUGUGUUCUUUAA
rnacentral:rRNA from 1 species